CACAUGCAAGUCGAGGGGAAACGACAUCGAAAGCUUGCUUUUGAUGGGCGUCGACCGGCGCACGGGUGAGUAACGCGUAUCCAACCUGCCCACCACUUGGGGAUAACCUUGCGAAAGUAAGACUAAUACCCAAUGAUAUCUCUAGAAGACAUCUGAAAGAGAUUAAAGACUUAUCGGUGAUGGAUGGGGAUGCGUCUGAUUAGCUUGUUGGCGGGGUAACGGCCCACCAAGGCGACGAUCAGUAGGGGUUCUGAGAGGAAGGUCCCCCACAUUGGAACUGAGACACGGUCCAAACUCCUACGGGAGGCAGCAGUGAGGAAUAUUGGUCAAUGGGCGAGAGCCUGAACCAGCCAAGUAGCGUGCAGGAUGACGGCCCUAUGGGUUGUAAACUGCUUUUAUAAGGGAAUAAAGUGAGUCUCGUGAGACUUUUUGCAUGUACCUUAUGAAUAAGGACCGGCUAAUUCCGUGCCAGCAGCCGCGGUAAUACGGAAGGUCCGGGCGUUAUCCGGAUUUAUUGGGUUUAAAGGGAGCGUAGGCCGGAGAUUAAGCGUGUUGUGAAAUGUAGACGCUCAACGUCUGCACUGCAGCGCGAACUGGUUUCCUUGAGUACGCACAAAGUGGGCGGAAUUCGUGGUGUAGCGGUGAAAUGCUUAGAUAUCACGAAGAACUCCGAUUGCGAAGGCAGCUCACUGGAGCGCAACUGACGCUGAAGCUCGAAAGUGCGGGUAUCGAACAGGAUUAGAUACCCUGGUAGUCCGCACGGUAAACGAUGGAUGCCCGCUGUUGGUCUGAAUAGGUCAGCGGCCAAGCGAAAGCAUUAAGCAUCCCACCUGGGGAGUACGCCGGCAACGGUGAAACUCAAAGGAAUUGACGGGGGCCCGCACAAGCGGAGGAACAUGUGGUUUAAUUCGAUGAUACGCGAGGAACC
rnacentral:rRNA from 1 species